rnacentral:snoRNA from 1 species
AUACCAUGAUAGGGACACAUUCUAAGCAAUUCCUUGAAUCUUUCCCAAGCUUUAUAUAAACUCUCAUCUUCCAGUUGAUGGAAGGAAGUAAUCUCAUUCCGCCACU